GGCGGACGGGUGAGUAAUGCCUAGGAAUCUGCCUGGUAGUGGGGGAUAACGUCCGGAAACGGGCGCUAAUACCGCAUACGUCCUGAGGGAGAAAGUGGGGGAUCUUCGGACCUCACGCUAUCAGAUGAGCCUAGGUCGGAUUAGCUAGUUGGUGGGGUAAAGGCCUACCAAGGCGACGAUGCGUAGCCGACCUGAGAGGGUGAUCGGCCACAUUGGAACUAAGAUACGGUCCAGACUCCUACGGGAGGCAGCAGUGGGGAAUAUUGCACAAUGGGGGAAACCCUGAUGCAGCAACGCCGCGUGAGUGAUGAAGGUCUUCGGAUUGUAAAGCUCUGUCUUUUGGGACGAUAAUGACGGUACCAAAGGAGGAAGCCACGGCUAACUACGUGCCAGCAGCCGCGGUAAUACGUAGGUGGCGAGCGUUGUCCGGAAUUACUGGGCGUAAAGGAUGCGUAGGCGGAUACUUAAGUCAG
rnacentral:rRNA from 1 species